AAUCAGUGAUCUUCACUACCAUGCGAUUGUCUACUACACAGUUUGUGGAUUUGAGUCGACCGUGGACUUCAGUUUUGCUUGAGUGCAGGAAUCAGAGCUUUUUAGCAGAUGCAAGAACACUGAGCCUUGCUGCAUAUUCUCACCUGUCAUAACAACACCAUGGAUGCAAGCACUACUUGGCAUAUACCAGAGUUCACACUAGGGACAACCACACAGGUCUGUAAGCAGCUUCAAACAAGGACAUACUGAAGAGAGUAUUUGAAGGAUAUUUCAGAUCCACUGACAACACAGCACGUUAUGGGACCCAAGGGAUGGAUGAGAAUGGGACUGGAGCAACAUCAAGAAGACAGAAGCCAGAAAGCACAAAGCUCACGGAGCUGGUACAGGGAUACCUUGUGGCUGAUGUAUGCAGUGCUGCUGUCUCUGCACAGACAGCACUCAUGGUCAAACCAAGGGUGACCAGAGAUUCGACCACAGAUGAAAAAUGAAAGCUCCACUGAAAUCCCUCUGCUCUUCCCAGAACUAACUUGAGUCUUAUCAAAGCUGCUGCCUCCCUCCUCCUGGUAACUCCCAUGGGUCCCUGGCAAUAAACCACUACUCCUGCCUCUCUUAUGAGGGAUAAAGCCUAAUUUGAGGGCAUCUGAUUUACUUUACUGAGGAAUAAAAAUGU